rnacentral:rRNA from 1 species
UGCGUAGGCGGGCCCGUUAGUCAGGGGUGAAAUCCCACGGCCCAACCGUGGAAGUGCCUCUGAUACUGCGGGCCUGGAGGGGGAUAGGGGCGUGCGGAACUUCCGGUGGAGCGGUGAAAUGCGUAGAUAUCGGAAGGAACACCGGUGGCGAAAGCGGCGCGCUGGAUCCCUACUGACGCUGAGGCACGAAAGCCAGGGGAGCAAACG